CCACGAUGAACUUGCCUUCUCCCCUGUGUGACGAGCCGAACCGCGUACUAGGAGUGUGCUAAGUCGACUGACAUCGAGGCGUGUCUGCGUGAUUCGCCGAGAUGUUGUGUCUAUCCUUGGAGCGACUCUCACACUGGGCACUUUUCUUCAUACACGUCAAAUGUUACCGUUUUGACUCACACCGGUGUGUAUGAAGGCACAUGUAGCUCCAAUUCCAUUUUGGAGCAAACGUGUGCCGUUAGAUAUUCACAAACUCACCAACCAAAUCCAAACUUGUUUCUCUAUCAUGCGUGAUAUCACUCUUGAAGUGACGUCCACAUGACACAGUUGAUAGUUCAACAAACAUAACAACUCUUAGCAAUGGAUAUCUAGGUUCUCGCAACGAUGAAGAACGCAGCGAAAUGCGAUACGUAAUGCGAAUUGCAGGAUUCAGCGAGUCAUCAAAUCUUUGAACGCAAAUUGCGCUUCUGGGUAGACCUAGAAGCACGCCUCUCUCAGUAUCGGUAUCACAAAUCUCAGCAGCGACUGUGUGACGUGCCUUUGUGCUCUGCGUAAAACGGUUCAUCGCGCGACUGUCGUGUUGGCUGGUGAAUGAGCGUCUGCCUCUUCUCGUGCAGUCGUUUCAAAGUCGUCGAAUGAAUAACGUGCGCGCAUAUAACCUGCUUUUAGCAUUAGCUACGAAUUGGUCAUAUGCGGCUGCCUUUGUCUGGUCUAUUUGAUCCUCCUGGAUCUUUCUCUCCCGUCCGAUACUUUGUAUUGGCCACACACAUCGGUGAUGUUCGAGUGACGUGCAGA
rnacentral:rRNA from 1 species